UACGUAGGGGGCAAGCGUUGUCCGGAAUUAUUGGGCGUAAAGCGCGCGCAGGCGGCUAUUUAAGUCUGGUGUUUAAACCUUGGGCUCAACCUGGGGUCGCACUGGAAACUGGGUGGCUUGAGUACAGAAGAGGAAAGUGGAAUUCCACGUGUAGCGGUGAAAUGCGUAGAGAUGUGGAGGAACACCAGUGGCGAAGGCGACUUUCUGGGCUGUAACUGACGCUGAGGCGCGAAAGCGUGGGGAGCAAACAGGAUUAGAAACCCCCGUAGUCC
rnacentral:rRNA from 1 species